GACGAACGCUGGCGGCGUGCUUAACACAUGCAAGUCGAACGGAAAGGCCCUGCUUUUGUGGGGUGCUCGAGUGGCGAACGGGUGAGUAACACGUGAGUAACCUGCCCUUGACUUUGGGAUAACUUCAGGAAACUGGGGCUAAUACCGGAUAGGAGCUCCUGCUGCAUGGUGGGGGUUGGAAAGUUUCGGCGGUUGGGGAUGGACUCGCGGCUUAUCAGCUUGUUGGUGGGGUAGUGGCUUACCAAGGCUUUGACGGGUAGCCGGCCUGAGAGGGUGACCGGCCACAUUGGUACUGAGAUACGGCCCAGACUCCUACGGGAGGCAGCAGUGGGGAAUAUUGCACAAUGGGCGGAAGCCUGAUGAAGCAACGCCGCGUGCGGGAUGACGGCCUUCGGGUUGUAAACCGCUUUCGCCUGUGACGAAGCGUGAGUGACGGUAAUGGGUAAAGAAGCACCGGCUAACUACGUG
rnacentral:rRNA from 1 species